AGAAUCAACGCUGGCGGCGUGCCUAACACAUGCAAGUCGAGCGAGAACCAGGGCUUCGGCCCUGAGUAAAGUGGCGCACGGGUGAGUAACACGUGAAUAAUCUACCUCUGGAGUGGGGAAUAACUGAGAGAAUCUUAGCUAAUACCGCAUAAUACUUACGAGUCAAAGCAGCAAUGCGCUUGGAGAGGAGUUCGCGGCCGAUUAGUUAGUUGGCGGGGUAAUCGGCCCACAAGACGAUGAUCGGUA
rnacentral:rRNA from 1 species